rnacentral:rRNA from 4 species
AAAACUUUCAACAACGGAUCUCUUGGUUCUCGCAACGAUGAAGAACGCAGCGAAAUGCGAUAUGUAUUGUGAAUUGCAGAUUUUCGUGAAUCAUCGAAUCUUUGAACGCACAUUGC